AGGCCUGGGCAUAUAACAUGAAACAAGAAAGAUAAGGCCCGUGCUUACAUAGAACUUGGUGAAGAAUCUAGACCAUAACAAGCACACAGAGAAAACGUAUCACAAAUUGUGCUAAAGUUCUGUAAAGGGAUUAAGAUGAAGUGUCACAAGACUGAAUUAGACAGAGUGCCCUUGAAAGAGAAUACUGAGUAUGUUCCUGUGUCACCUUAUUUGCCAAUAGUGCCAAUUUUUAGAAUGGAGGGUGUAGAUCCAUCCUUUGCAACUGGUGAGGACCUCCUCAGUAAGGCACUGAGCCAGGAGUCUAUACAGCCAUGCCAGCAGGGAGCACUGUCUUUCAUUGUCUGAUGUUUAUUGCAAACCUGUUCUUUUCAGCUUUUUGUUGUUUCAGCCUAGUCCAAAGACGUUUACAUCCUGGAAGAGAACUUGCUGGCUUUUCACCUCAGCAUGUAUGGGCCAAACUAAUAUAACAAGAAGUCUUGAGAGGAGUCAGCGGCCAAGCUCCAUGUCUUGCAGCCAAACAAUGCUGUGGGAUGGAAGGUGGGAUGUCAUGUGUCUGGUUUACAGCACUCACGUAUCAGUUGGCAGUUAACGGAAG
rnacentral:lncRNA from 1 species